UACGAAGGGUGCAAGCGUUACUCGGAAUUACUGGGCGUAAAGCGUGCGUAGGUGGUUUGUUAAGUCUGAUGUGAAAGCCCCGGGCUCAACCUGGGAACCGCGCUUGAGACUGGCAUGCUCGAGUUCGGGAGAGGAUGGUGGAAUUCCCAGUGUAGAGGUGAAAUUCGUAGAUAUUGGGAAGAACACCGAUGGCGAAGGCAGCCAUCUGGACCGACACUGACGCUGAGGCGCGAAAGCGUGGGGAGCAAACAGG
rnacentral:rRNA from 1 species